rnacentral:precursor_RNA from 1 species
ACCCUUUUGGUAACGUUUUCUGCUCUCAAGUCUUUGGUGUUUGUUGUCAGAAAAAUAUAUAUGGGCAAAAUAUAUUUUUUUAAAAUUUUAUUUGUUGUUGCUGUAUGUUUAUUUGGCGGUUGGUUUGGUGGGGGUGAAGUCACUGGAGGCAGCGGUUCAUCGAUCUCUUCCUGGGAAUUUGUUGUAACACAAAACAUGAAUCGGUCGAUAAACCUCUGCAUCCAGCGCUCACCUCUCUCUCUCUCUCUUAUCGUUUAGCAUUUUUUGAUUACUGUAUAUCAUAUUCUCCUUUUGGUUGCUCAGAAAUUGAAGGAAAAAUUAUAUUCUCUGUUUGGGGGACUGCCUUCUGUGUCUAUGUAGAUUAUAGCUUUCGCUUUAUGUCCAUUACACCAUUUUCCAGUGACCAACCCAUCUGUUAAUUUUUGUUUAUUAUUCUUUUAUGAAUUGUAAAUUGCCAAGGUUUGAGUUCAACUAUGGAUACAAAGGUAGAUGCUUUUGUUUUGAGUUAUGAUAUUGUUGAGUAAUUUGCAGGUUAGGAGAUGAAUGAAUUGUGGGUCGGAAGUGGGCCUUUCAAGAUGACUGUUUUUGAAUGUGCCAAUUUUUGUAUUAUAUGUUUGUCAUGAUAAUGGUUACUUUUAUGAUGAUGAUGACUAUGUUAAUGAUAUGAAGAAAAAAAAAAAACCUUUUUCACAUCACUACGGUGAAUGUUAUGAUGAUUAUGAUGAUGACAGCAGCGGUGAUAUGUUGAGCAAAAUGUUGUUUGACUUUUAUCUUGAAUGCUUUUUUACCUGACGGAAUUUCGUGUAACUUGUGGCAAUUCGUUUGGUAAAAGUAACGAAAUUCUGGGAAUUUCUUGUUCUUUGUUCUUUUCAACUGACAUUUUUCUUUCUUUCUUUGGCAAGUUGAACUUAUUACUGAGCAUGAUUCUUGUUAAAUGCAUGCUGGUUCAGAAACUUCAUUUAAAAAAUAAAAAAUAAAUUCCACCUUUUCUUAGCAAAAUAGGGUCUCUGUCUUCUUGUUUGAAGUUAAUGUAAUUAUUUUUACCCUAUUCAUGUAAAAAGUAUUCAGUUUCUUGUGUUGAAACAUAAUUCUUGUUUUACAUUUGUAUACAUGCAUUUUCUUUUGGUUAUUUGCAAAGUACUUUUACCUUGUGGAGUAGUUAACUUUUGGGUUCUCAAGUUUUCCAUGAUUCUCCCAAGGCAUGGUCUUUGACCAAUCAUUCCCAUGUGUUUUGGUCGCAGUAAAAUCAUUGAAGGAAAGAUGAAUGGAAAGUGCACUAGUAUUACUGUUUUUGUUAAAGUGGGUAUUCACAGGGUUUUUUCUUUUUAACAUGAGAAUUAUUGGAAUUAAUUCAAAGCCAAAUUAUGUGUCAUUUUCUUGAGCAGGUGGGUGUAAAGUUAUUACUUGUUUCUUUCCGUGGUAAGGGGAACAGUAUCUUUGAAAGGAAGUUUUGAAGUGGGAUACGAAAUAUCCUCCUCAUGGCUGUAUGGAAGUGAGGGAAUCACAGUUGGCAGAGUAUCUUCAAGCUUAGAAUGGAAAAUUAGUUAAAGUUGAAAUAAAUUCUACUAGAAUAGUAGAGGGAAGAAUCUAUGAAAACUACAGCAAGCUGUGGCCAAUCCGUUGUUUGCUUCUUUAUGCUGAUUCAUUACUUGAAAUUAUCCAGCAUGCUAAGAAAUCAUCAUUGUUCUCUUGUCAUUCUAGUGGAAAGUCAUCAUUUUGAUUCCUUUUUCUUUUUCAUUUAUUCUUUUUGGUGUAAAGGAUUAACUUUUCUAUUGUUACCCAGUGUAAUUUAACUAAUUUUUUAGGCCAAGUAAAAGAUCAGCCAACAAAGCAAAUAGAUUUUCCCCAUUUGAAAGCUAUGCGCCCAAAAAAGAAAUCCAGCAUAUAAUUUAUGUUUCUUUCUAGUUUUGUUGACUAAUGAGCCACAGAAAAGGAUAUUCUUAGUUUAAACUUUUCCUGAAUAGUUAGUUUUAGACGAGUUCCGUUGGGAGGGUGAUGAUGAACUACCUUGUCCACAUCCAAAUAUUGUAAUGGGCCAAAAUAUGUGCAGAUAAUGAAGAUGUUAUCGUCGUCGGCAAUGAAAUCAUCAUGAUAGGAUUGGUGGUGACAACGUGGGCUAAUGUAUGCCUAAGAAAAUGACCACUAUGGCAUGUUAACAAAACAUGAUGGGAAUGGCAUCUUGUCAUGUAUAGGAUGGUGAUAAUGGGCACUUACAUGUACAAUUUGUUUAUGUAAAUAAUUGGUUUGUUUGGUAAAGGGUUUUACAAUUUUGAGUUUUGAAUAGUAAUAAGAUGUGAUUGAUAUGAUAUAAAGUAAAAAAAAUAUUGUAAAUUUAUUGCAUAUAUAUAUAAAAAGAGAGAUAGUUUUUUAUUUGAAUAGUAAUAGUUAUUGAUGUGAUAUAAAAAGUGAAAAAAAUUGUUAAAAAAUUAUUGAUGAAAUAUAAUCAAGCCUAAAUGGGCUAGCUUUACCAAACAAAUUUUAAAAUAUUGUGCUACUAGCGCAUUGUUGAAUAACAAGUUCAGAUAGCAUAAGAGUCUAACAGUCUGUUUAACAUUGCGGUGAGAAAUAUAGUUUUUCUCAAAUGAGCUUUUGACAAAAGUGCUACUGUUGAAAAGCUGUUUACCUGUUUGGUAACUAUAUAUCUUAAAUGCUUUUUUGAUGCUAAUCAUGUUUGGUAACAAAACUUAAAAAAGUACUUUUAUUUGUAAAAAAUGACAAAAAAAGACAUUAUAUCUAAAACAACAUAUUGUGCCAAAUU